UCCAUCCGUUGGGGAGCAGUUUGGAGGCCAGGAUCAGGCCGGAGGAAGCCACUGAAGUCUGGCGCCUAAGAGCCGCCCCUGCCUAUCCUGAGGCUGGGCUCUCUACUGCGCGGCCCCUUCAGCCCCCAGCUUGAAGCAAGGCCUCCAUAAUGACGUCUCAGCACUGGGCUUUCGGAAAAGAGCCAGGCCGGGUCUGGCCAGGCUCUGCCUAGUAGCAGGAGGCUCUUCUAGCCCAAACCCCACGCGAGGGGCGGCCGUACCCGCGGGUGUCAGUGCCAGCAUGGCGUAGGGGGCGCUGCGGCACACCACCUCCUGCAUGAUGAUGCCCACGCCGAAGACGUCGCCGGCCAGCGUCCCCCUGCGCUCCAGGCCUGGGUCCCGGAGCAGCUCCGGGGCGGUCCACAGCUGGUCUGGGGCCGGGGAAGAAGGCGUGGGCGCGCGGACGGCCUUGGGGGAACUGGGGACAGACACCCCCCCUCCUCCCUUCCCCCAGCCUGAGGCUGGCCCCGCUGGCUGCAGCUUUCACCAGGGGAGACCACCCGCAGGGCGUCUCCGAAAAAGCCCCGCCCUUUGCACCAAGCCCCGCCCCUGGAAGACUCCGCCCCUGGACACAAGUCCCGCCCCGAGAAGACUCCGCCCCGGGCACAAGCCCCGCCCCGAGAAGACUCCGCCCCGGGCACAAGCCCCGCCCUUAGGCUCCGUCCCACUCGGAACAGACCCCGUCGCCAGGACAGGAGGUCCCUCCUCAGGGACGAGUCUGCGCCCCGGAGUCGCCCGUGGCCGUGGUCGGUGACUUUAAGCACAAACCUCCCGUCCACCACGCAGUUCCGGGACUUAAGUCGCCCAUGGGCCACGCCUCGGUGGUGCAGGUACCUCAUUCCCUGGACGGGGUGGGGUGAGAGGCCGCUUCAGCCCCGGCUCCCCUGCCCUGUCUCCCCCGCACCCCUCUUUCUGCACCUCCCGCUCCCCGCACACCUUGAUGAGGUCCAGUAGCAAGGAGGACUUGAACAUCCAGUCCAGCUUGAUGUCUCUCUGGGCGAGGAGGUCGUGCAGGGAGCCCCGGGCGCAGUGCUCCGAGACCACGGCCAGCAUGCCCUCCCCGGGGGCCGCGGCGCUGUCCGUUCCCCCCGCCAGGAAGAGCCCCAGCCAUCAGACUUGGAACGGUCCAUGUCUCAAGGAGAAACACCUCAUGAAGGAGAAGCCACCGGCACCACCACCCACCCCUUCUGAUGUAACAGCCUUUGAGGGAAGAACCAGGGAGAAGCUGCACUGCUUUCAAAAAAACAACAGAAAUGGCCCUAGCUGGUUUGGCCCAGUGGAUACAGCGUCAGUCUGCAGACCAAAGGGUCCUGGCAUUGAUUCUGGCCAA